CCCUUCUCAGGAUGGCUCCUGGAGAGUUUCCAGUACCCUACCAGUCUCGACUAAGGGAGGGAGGAUCAAGCAGAGGCAUACCCAUUCCAUUCCUAGCUUGGGCAGUGGCUAGAGAGUGGAAAGUAAUCUGCUACAAAU
rfam:Ornithorhynchus anatinus chromosome 3, whole genome shotgun sequence.